AACGCGGUGGCAGAGUGGUGAUGCAGCGGACUGCAAAUCCGUGUACGUGGGUUCGAUUCCCGCCCGUGCCUCCA
rnacentral:tRNA from 3 species